UGUGUCUUAAGACUUUGCCCCACAGA
rnacentral:piRNA from 1 species